UGGGGAAUAUUGCACAAUGGAGGGAACUCUGAUGCAGCGACGCCGCGUGAACGAAGAAGGCUUUCGAGUCGUAAAGUUCUUUUAUAUGGGAAGAUAAUGACGGUACCAUAAGAAGAAGCCCCGGCUAACUACGUGCCAGCAGCCGCGGUAAUACGUAGGGGGCUAGCGUUGUCCGGAAUCACUGGGCGUGAAGGGUUCGCAGGCGGAAAUGCAAGUCAGGUGUAAAAGGCAGUAGCUUAACUACUGUAAGCAUUUGAAACUGCAUAUCUUGAGAAGAGUAGAGGUAAGUGGAAUUUUUAGUGUAGCGGUGAAAUGCGUAGAUAUUAAAAAGAAUACCGGUGGCGAAGGCGACUUACUGGGCUCAUUCUGACGCUGAGGAACGAAAGCGUGGGUAGCAAACAGG
rnacentral:rRNA from 1 species